rnacentral:rRNA from 1 species
AUACGGAGGGUGCAAGCGUUAAUCGGAAUUACUGGGCGUAAAGCGCGCGUAGGCGGUUUGAUAAGUCGGAUGUGAAAGCCCUGGGCUCAACCUGGGAACUGCAUUCGAUACUGUCUAACUAGAGUAUGGUAGAGGGAAGUGGAAUUCCGGGUGUAGCGGUGAAAUGCGUAGAUAUCCGGAGGAACAUCAGUGGCGAAGGCGACUUCCUGGACCAAUACUGACGCUGAGGUGCGAAAGCGUGGGGAGCAAACAGGAUUAGAAACCCUAGUAGUCC